rnacentral:lncRNA from 1 species
UGAUCAACAGAAAGUCAGGGUCAGAGAUUGGGAUUGCUCUUGUGCUAGAAGGAGUUGUGUUUUUUGUGAUAGCUUAAGUAAACCUGGGAGCUGUCGUUGAUUUUGGUAACUCAUAACAUUGCUUAAAAUUGACACACAUCAAUUAAGCUUUAUCUACCAAUAGAGCUUAUGCUUUUUUUCCUUUUCUUUCAUUCUUUUCUCUUCAACCAGUCUUUCCCUUAACUUUCUGGCUUUCUCUCUCUUCACUGCUCCCUCCUGUGUGCUGGUCUGCCUUACUGACUUUAGAGUAUGAAAAGGUUGCUCUUCCUGUGAUUUUCUAGUGGUUACACAUUCACCGAGAUCCACAUGAGGUCAUUCCAAGAAAAGUCGUGUGACUGGAACCACAAUGGCAGAUGCAAAGAUCUGGCAGGUCCUCCUUUCUCUUUCUUUGCUAAUCAGGUGUAACUAUUCAAAGACACUAAAGAGACUUCCUGGCAAAAAGCUGUGGCCUGCUGCCGGAUGACCUGGAAGAGG